rfam:Gemmatimonadetes bacterium 13_2_20CM_70_9 13_2_20cm_scaffold_551, whole genome shotgun sequence.
CUCUGCUCAGGGCAAACCGCCGGCGACGGCGGGACGCAAAGCCAAGGGGUCUCGCACUGCGAGACAGCCCGGCUGCCGGA